UACGUAGGGCGCAAGCGUUAUCCGGAAUUAUUGGGCGUAAAGAGCUCGUAGGCGGUUUGUCGCGUCUGCCGUGAAAGUCCGGGGCUCAACUCCGGAUCUGCGGUGGGUACGGGCAGACUAGAGUGAUGUAGGGGAGACUGGAAUUCCUGGUGUAGCGGUGAAAUGCGCAGAUAUCAGGAGGAACACCGAUGGCGAAGGCAGGUCUCUGGGCAUUAACUGACGCUGAGGAGCGAAAGCAUGGGGAGCGAACAGU
rnacentral:rRNA from 1 species